rnacentral:rRNA from 1 species
AUUGAACGCUGGCGGCAGGCUUAACACAUGCAAGUCGAGCGGAGAUGAGGUGCUUGCACCUUAUCUUAGCGGCGGACGGGUGAGUAAUUCUUAGGAAUCUGCCUAUUAGUGGGGGACAACAUUCCGAAAGGAAUGCUAAUACCGCAUACGCACUACGGGGGAAAGCAGGGGAUCUUCGGACCUUGCGCUAAUAGAUGAGCCUAAGUCGGAUUAGGUAGGUGGUGGGGUAAAGGCCUACCAAGGCGACGAUCUGUAGUGGGUCUGAGAGGAUGAUCCGCCCCACUGGGACUGAGACACGGCCCAGACUCCUACGGGAGGCAGCAGUGGGGAAUAUUGGACAAUGGGCGGAAGCCUGAUCCAGCCAUGCCGCGUGUGUGAAGAAGGCCUUUUGGUUGUAAAGCACUUUAAGCGAGGAGGAGGCUACCUGGAUUAAUACUCUAGGAUAGUGGACGUUACUCGCAGAAUAAGCACCGGCUAACUCUGUGCCAGCAGCCGCCGUAACAC